rnacentral:rRNA from 1 species
UACAGAGGGGGCAAGCGUUGUUCGGAAUUACUGGGCGUAAAGGGCGCGUAGGCGGCCCGCUAAGUCGAACGUGAAAUCCCCAAGCUCAACUCGGGAACUGCGUCCGAUACUGGCGGGCUUGAAUCCGGGAGAGGGAUGCGGAAUUCCAGGUGUAGCGGUGAAAUGCGUAGAUAUCUGGAGGAACACCGGUGGCGAAGGCGGCAUCCUGGACCGGCAUUGACGCUGAGGCGCGAAAGCUAGGGGAGCAAACGGG